rnacentral:rRNA from 1 species
GACGAACGCUGGCGGAGUGCCUAAUACAUGCAAGUCGAACGCAGUGGGGACGGGUGAGUAACACGUGGGUAACCUCCCAUCAGAGGGGAUAACACUUGGAAACAGGUGCUAAACCGAUACUGAUGGAUGAACCCGCGGUGCAUUAGCUAGGUGGUGAGGUAACGGCUCGACAAGGACACGAUGCAUAGCCGACUGGAGAGGGAGGUCGACCACACGGAGACUGAGAAAAGGCCCAGACUCCUACGUGAGGAAGCAGUAGGGAAUCUACGGCAAGGGACGAAAGUCUGACCGAGCGACGCAGCGUGAGUGAAUAAGGUUUUCGGAUCGUAAAACUAUUUUGUUAGAGAAGCGGUAUCUAACCAGAAAGCCACGGCUAACUACGUGCCAGCAGCCGCGGUAAUAC